ensembl:lncRNA
ACAUCGGGACAUUGGGGAUAUGGGGGAUAGGAGGACAUGGGGACACGGGGACAUGGGGGACAUGGGGAUAUAGGAGACACGGGAAUAUGGGGGACAUGGGGACAUGGGGACAUUGGGGACAUUGGGGACGUGGGGACAUUGGGGACAAGGGGGCCCAAUGGGGGUGGCAGUGGGGUGGCAGUGGGGACAGAGAUGGGGUCGGGGGGUCACCAAUGGGACGCAGUGGGAGCCGUUUCCCCCCACACACCGUGCCCCCCCCCAGCAGCUGCCGCUGUCCGUCUGUCCGUCCUUGUCCGUCCGUCCCUGUCCAUCCAUCCCCGUCCGUCUGUCCCCGUCCGUCACCCGAUGCCGUCCCCACCCCCGUCCCCGCGUGUCCCCACGUCUGUCCAUCCGUCCCUGCGUCCGUCAGUCCCUGGCCGUGUCCGUCUGUCUGUCCCCGUCCACCCCUCCAUCCUCACGCGUGUCCGUCUGUCCCUGUCUGGGUCUGCCUGUCCCUAUCUGUCCGUCUGUCCCCAUCCGUCUGUCCGUCUGUCCCACUCUGCCCGUGUGUCCCCCUCUGUCCGUCCCUUCCCCGUCUGUCUGUCCCCAUCCCUGUCUAUCUGUCCUUCCCUGUCCCUACCUCUGUCCGUCCAGCCCCAGCUGUGUCUACCUGUCCCUGUCUGUCUGCCGGUGUCCGUCUGUCCCCGUCCCCAUCCGUGUCCAUCUGUCUGUCCCCAUCCAUCUGUCCCUCCCUCCGCCUGUCCUCCUCUGUGUCCGUCUGUCCCCUGUCCCCAUCCACAUCUGUCUGUCCCAACCCCUGUCCAUCCAUCUGUCCCCAUCUCUCUGUCCCUGUCCCCACCCCACCUGUCUGUCUGUCCGCCUGUGUCUGUCUGUCCCACUGCGUCCCCAUCUCUCCAUCCCUAUUGCCGUCUGCCCACCUGUCCCCAUCUGCGUCCGUCUGUCCCAAUCUCUGUCUGUCCAUCUGUCCUCAUCAGUCCCCAUCUGUCCCCAUCGUGUCCAUCUGUCCAUCCCCAUCUCUGUCCAUCUGUCCGUCUGUCCCCAUCCUUCUAUCCCUGCCUCCGUCCGUGUCAGCCUGUCCCCAUCUGCCAGCAUCCACGUCUGUCUGUCUGUCCGUCUGCCUCCGUCCAUCCCUCCGUCCCUGUCCGUGUCUCUGUCUGUCCCCAUCCAUGUCCGUCUGUCUGCCCCCCAUCCACGUCUGUCUGUCUGCCUGUCCCUAAAAUCGCAGCCCUCUGCCCCACAUCCCCACCCCCCAUCGCAGCCCCACAUCUCUGCCCCACACAUCGCAGCCCCACAGCCCCCAACAUCGCAGCCUCCCAUCACAGCCCCACAUCGCAGCCCCACAUCUCUGCCCCACACAUCACAGCCCCACAUCCCCACCCCACAUCACAGCCCCACGUCUCUGCCCCACACAUCGCAGCCCUCAGCCCCACAUCACAGCCCCACAACAGCCCUCUGCCCCACAUUGCAUCCCCAUAUCACAGCCCCACAGCAGUCCUCAGCCCCACAACCUCAGCCCUACAUCCCCACCCCACAUCGCAUCUCCCCACAUCACAGCCCUCAGCCCCCAACAUCUCCGCCCCACACAUCGCAGCCCUCAGCCCCACACUGCAGUGCUCAACUCCCCCCAUCACAGCCCCACACAUCGCAGCCCUCUGCCCCACAUCUCCACCCCACACCGCAGCCUCACACAUCGUAGUCCUCAGCCCCCCAUCACAGCCCCACAUUUUGCAGCCCUCCGUCCCACAUAACAACUGGGGGGGCCGCAGAGCCCCAGGCGCAGUGGUUCCCCCACAUCCCCCCGCCCCACAUCUCAUCUCCCCACAGAGGUACCUGCACUGGGCUGGGGGGGCUCAGCCGCCUCCUCGCUGUGGGGCAGCGCUGGGUCGGGGGGGUCCAUGUGGGGCUGAGCUGCAUCCUCGCUAUGGGGCUGAGCUGCGUCCUUGUUAUGGGGCUGAGCUGCGUCCUUGUUAUGGGGCUGAGCCAUUUCCUCACUAUGGGGCUGAGCUGUUUUCUUGCUAUGGGGCUGAGCCGUGUCCACGCUGUGGGGCAGCUGGGACUUGGGGGGCUGAGCCCCGUUCUUGCUGUGGGGCAGCUGGGAUCCAUGGGUCUUCAUGUGGGUCUGAGCCCCAUCUUUGCUAUGGGGCAGCCGGGAUGGGGGGAGCUCCUCUGUGCUGCAGCUCUUGGGAUGAGUGGGGGGCAGGGACUUGUGGGGCAGGGACUUUGUGUGGGCCAGGUCACUAUGGGGCAGGGAUGUGUGGGGCAGGGACACGUGGGGCAGGGGCUUUGCGUGGGCUGGGUCGCUAUGGGGCAGGGACUUGUGGGGCAGAGGCUCCGCGCGGGCCGGGUUGCUAUGGGGCAGGGACUUAUGGGGCACAGUCCUACAGGCUGGGUCGCUGUGGGGCAGGGACUUGUGGGGCACAGUCCUACAGGCCGGGUCGCUAUGGGGCAGGGACUUGUGGGGCACAGUCCUACAGGCCGGGUCGCUGUGGGGCAGGGACUUAUGGGGCACAGUCCUACAGGCCGGGUCGCUAUGGGGCAGGGACUUGUGGGGCAGGGGCUCCGCGCGGGCCGGGUCGCUGUGGGGCAGGGACUUGUGGGGCACAGUCCUACAGGCCGGGUCGCUGUGGGGCAGGGACUUGUGGGGCACGGCGCUCCGGGCCGGGUCGCCGCGGGGCAGCCAGGUUCGGGGCAGCGCGGCGUCGGGCAGGCGGAGCUGCGCCCGCAGCACGGCGAGGCCGCGCUCGGUGAGGAAGCAGUAGCGGUGCCGCCAGCAGUGCCGCUCCCGCACGGCGCCCCGCGAGCGCAGCGACCGCAGCGCCCGGCACACGCGCCACCGCGGCACGCCGGGAACCGGGGGGGGGGCGCGGGGCAGCGGCGCCGGGCGGGGGGCGGGCGGGGGGC